rnacentral:rRNA from 1 species
UCCAGACUCCUACGGGAGGCAGCAGUGGGGGAUAUUGCACAAUGGGGGGGACCCUGAUGCAGCGACGCCGCGUGGGUGAAGGAGCGUUUCGGCGCGUAAAGCCCUAUCGGCAGGGAAGAAGGAGGACGGUACCUGACUAAGAAGCCCCGGCUAACUACGUGCCAGCAGCCGCGGUAAUACGUAGGGGGCAAGCGUUAUCCGGAUUUACUGGGUGUAAAGGGAGCGUAGACGGCAGCGCAAGUCUGGAGUGAAAUGCCGGGGCCCAACCCCGGGACUGCCCUUGGAACUGCAUGGCUGGAGUGCGGGAGGGGCAGGCGGAAUUCCUGGUGUAGCGGUGAAAUGCGUAGAUAUCAGGAGGAACACCGGCGGCGAAGGCGGCCUGCUGGACCGCGAUUGACGUUGAGGCUCGAAAGCGUGGGGAGCGAACAGGAUUAGAUACCCCGGUACC